rnacentral:rRNA from 1 species
UUGGGAAUCUUGCACAAUGGGGGAAACCCUGAUGCAGCGACGCCGCGUGGAGGAUGAAGGAUCUAGGUCUGUAAACUCCUUUUUCACGGAAAGACUUAGGACGGUACCGUGAGAAUAAGCCCCGGCUAACUACGUGCCAGCAGCCGCGGUAAGACGUAGGGGGCGAGCGUUGUCCGGAUUUACUGGGCGUAAAGGGCGCGUAGGCGGUCUGUUAAGUGUGAAGCUAAAUCUCCGAGCUCAACUCGGAAAUCAUUUCGCAUACUGGCAGACUGGAGGAAGGAAGAGGUAACUGGAAUUCCUGGUGUAACGGUGAAAUGUGUUGAUAUCAGGAGGAACUCCAAUGGCGAAGGCAGGUUACUGGUCCUUUUCUGACGCUGAGGCGCGAAAGCGUGGGUAGCAA